rnacentral:rRNA from 1 species
UACACAUGCAAGUCGAGCGGAUGAAAGGAGCUUGCUCCUGGAUUCAGCGGCGGACGGGUGAGUAAUGCCUAGGAAUCUGCCUGGUAGUGGGGGACAACGUUUCGAAAGGAACGCUAAUACCGCAUACGUCCUACGGGAGAAAGCAGGGGACCUUCGGGCCUUGCGCUAUCAGAUGAGCCUAGGUCGGAUUAGCUAGUUGGUGAGGUAAUGGCUCACCAAGGCGACGAUCCGUAACUGGUCUGAGAGGAUGAUCAGUCACACUGGAACUGAGACACGGUCCAGACUCCUACGGGAGGCAGCAGUGGGGAAUAUUGGACAAUGGGCGAAAGCCUGAUCCAGCCAUGCCGCGUGUGUGAAGAAGGUCUUCGGAUUGUAAAGCACUUUAAGUUGGGAGGAAGGGCAGUAAAUUAAUACUUUGCUGUUUUGACGUUACCGACAGAAUAAGCACCGGCUAACUCUGUGCCAGCAGCCGCGGUAAUACAGAGGGUGCAAGCGUUAAUCGGAAUUACUGGGCGUAAAGCGCGCGUAGGUGGUUUGUUAAGUUGGAUGUGAAAUCCC